rnacentral:rRNA from 1 species
GACGAACGCUGGCGGCGUGCUUAACACAUGCAAGUCGAACGCUGAAGCUCAGCUUUUGUUGGGUGGAUGAGUGGCGAACGGGUGAGUAACACGUGAGUAACCUGCCUCCUUCUUUGGGAUAACGCCCGGAAACGGGUGCUAAUACUGGAUAUUCACUGGUCUUCGCAUGGGGGUUGGUGGAAAGGGUUUUUCUGGUGGGGGAUGGGCUCGCGGCCUAUCAGCUUGUUGGUGGGGUGAUGGCCUACCAAGGCUUUGACGGGUAGCCGGCCUGAGAGGGUGAACGGUCACAUUGGGACUGAGAUACGGCCCAGACUCCUACGGGAGGCAGCAGUGGGGAAUAUUGCACAAUGGGCGCAAGCCUGAUGCAGCGACGCCGCGUGAGGGAUGGAGGCCUUCGGGUUGUGAACCUCUUUCGCUCAUGGUCAAGCCGCAACAAUGGUUGUGGUGAGGGUAGUGGGUAAAGAGGCGCCGGCUAACUACGUG